rnacentral:lncRNA from 1 species
UAGGUGCCCUAUGAUGAUGUGGCACCAAUGAAAUUCAUCCACAUUUAUUUAAGUCAAACAUAAUUAAUUUUUUACCAUAAAUUAUUUUGACUACNNNAUUAUAUUCUAUGGAUUUAUAUUUUAGACCUAAUUACUUUUGAUUUGUUUGCUUCUUCUUCAAAUUGUAUUACGUCUCAAACAACUUUCUUCUUCGCGUAAAAAAAAAAAUUCUUCUUAUCGUCAAAAAACUUUCUUCUUCUUCUUAAUGCUUUCAAUCUCUGCCGUAGCCUCCACCACCGUCAUGUUAGCAUUCUACGGCUCCUCCGCUUUUGUGUUAUCCGAUGUCAAUCUUUACUGCAGCCUUCGCCACCGAUCUACCGGAUUUCUUCAAGAUUCUAAAACUUGUUAUUUUCA